rnacentral:rRNA from 1 species
GACGAACGCUGGCGGCGUGCUUAACACAUGCAAGUCGUACGGUAAGGCCCUUUCGGGGGUACACGAGUGGCGAACGGGUGAGUAACACGUGAGUAACCUGCGCACAACUUUGGGAUAACGCUAGGAAACUGGUGCUACUACUGGAAAUGUGCUCCUGCUGCAUGGGGGGGGUUGGAAAGCUCCGGGGGUGGUGGAUGGAUUGGCGGCCUAUCGGCUUGUUGGUGGGGUGGUGGCCUACCAGGGCGCCGAGGGGUAGACGGCCUGUGAGAGUGAGCGGCCACACUGGGACUGAGAGAAGGCAGAGACGCCGACGGGAGGCAGCAGUGGGGAAUAUUGAACCAGGGGCGCAGGCCUGAUGCAGAAGGGCCGCGUGCGGGAUGACCGCCUUCGGGUUGUAAACCGCUUGCAGCAGGGACGAAGCUUGUUGUGACGGUACCUGCAGAAGAAGCACCGGCUAACUACGUG